AUACGAUUUUCUUAAGUUUACCCAUUUUCAUCAAUUAUUUCACAGUCUCACCUAUUUUUCUGGAAAAAGCUAACAAUUUAAGGCCGUUAAUUAAAUGACAAAGAGAAGGACCUCCUCAAUCAGAGACGUACUCGCAGUCGGACACGUGUGUGCUGCCGCCCUGGCAACGUCUGGUGGCUGGGGAAGACGACGUCGUCGGAGUCUGCAACAUAUACAGUAUCAAUCAACAAAUCAACGAGAACAUAAAAGUCCGCUAGCCAGUCAGACAGCAGCCACCCCCUAGAAAAGGCAAAACAAAGCUGGGGUGCAGAGACUACCUGAAAGUUGCGCAUUUUUGCGUAGUCAAGUCGGUUGCCAAGCGCCGCCCUCGAGUCGAGACCGUUGCCAAGUGCUCUGACGAUGUUGAUGGUGGUGUUGUUCGAUGUUGGUUGUGGGCCCUCAACUAAGGCAGACGUUGGUGCCAUUAACAUGCUCAUUACAUGCGUCGCGACUGCGAUGUGAACCAACGAGGAUGAGAGCGAGAGGCGCGUGUGUGGGUCGUGUGCGUAUAUAUGUGUGUGUGUGUGUGUGUGUGAGAGACGCACGCGCGCCUUGCAGACGACGACAUUGUGUAGACUUUAGCCCAUUAUCUACAGCUAUUAGCAUUAGCGGGUUUACCUGUCGCCGCGGAUUAGUGCCGCCUGCUUGUUGUUGCGGUCAGAUUUGGUUUUGGAUAAUGGGUGUGCAGCAUUAUCAUGAGAUAAUGAUAUAUAUAUAUAUAGACAUCGGGUGUUUACAAUUAAUAAACUUGAUUUAAAGAUCAGUUCAUCUAAUAUAUGUAUUUGUAUUUAAAAAUAAUAAUUAUAUUUAAAUUGAAAAUAAUUUAAUAGAAUUUAUAUAUAUUUAUAAUUUUUGCACAUUUCGAUUUGAUUUGCAUUCGCGCUCGAGCAGGGAACAACUUUCACAUUUCUCUAGUAAGUAUAAUCCACCCGAAUAGGAGGAUGUAACUAACUAACAUAUAGUAAUUCUCCAUUCCCGACUCAAUCGCUCUAAAAACUAAAGCCUAGCUAUUUACACAGAUCAAUGAAGUUUGUUUUAUGCUUUUCGUUUAUAAUAAAGGAGAAUUGCCAAAAAAGAAAGCUUGUGCUGCAAUCCUCUAUGUCUGUCUAUCUUUGUCUGUCUACCUCGCGCUAUCUCUCUAUACAUUAUGCAAAUAUAUAGAAAAAUGCCAAGUUAUGCGCAAAGUUGAUUGAAUAAAAUGUAUUGCUGUUGCUGUUUCUGUGGUUAUUACUGUUGUUGUUCUUGCUGUUAUUGAUCGAUUCAGAAGUAAAAGCUUUCCGGAUGCUGCUGCUGCUGUUGCUGCUGGCAGCGCUGCUGGCGUUGACGCAACGUUGCCUGC